rnacentral:rRNA from 1 species
AACGAACGCUGGCGGCAUGCCUAACACAUGCAAGUCGAACGAGACCUUCGGGUCUAGUGGCGCACGGGUGCGUAACGCGUGGGAACCUGCCCUUAGGUUCGGAAUAACUCCCCGAAAGGGGUGCUAAUACCGGAUAAUGUCUUCGGACCAAAGAUUUAUCGCCUUUGGAUGGGCCCGCGUUGGAUUAGCUAGUUGGUAGGGUAAAAGCCUACUAAGGCGACGAUCCAUAGCUGGUCUGAGAGGAUGAUCAGCCACACUGGGACUGAGACACGGCCCAGACUCCUACGGGAGGCAGCAGUGGGGAAUAUUGGACAAUGGGCGAAAGCCUGAUCCAGCAAUGCCGCGUGAGUGAUGAAGGCCUUAGGGUUGUAAAGCUCUUUUACCCGGGAUGAUAAUGACAGUACCGGGAGAAUAAGCUCCGGCUAACUACGUG